GGUCGCCAUCUUUGCGCACCUGACGUACAGAAGGCGCGGCGGCCGCUGAGAGACCAAAGCUGAAGACUCUCCUAUUUCCUGGUACCUCAGCCCCUUAAAGGAAAAUGGGGAGAUUUUAAGAGGCUCGAGCUCAUACAAAGCAAACAUGACGUGGGGGUAAAUUCAUUUGAAUGGACAGGGCCCGCUUGUGGACGGUGAACGGCGCAAAUUUUUCAAAGGCCGGAGCCCAUCAAGACCGAAAGGGCGCAGUACAUUCUGAGCGGCUGUGACGUCUCGGCUGCGUGGGAAGUUAAAAUUGCUUCUGGACACCUCGAUAACUGGUUUAAUUGCGAAAAGAUUUAGAGGCCGUAUGAAAACUUAAGCGUGCUUGGCAAAAAAAACCCUGGCGGCGCGCUGUAGCCGUUUCGGGUUUGAGCCGUUGGGCAGGAGCACCGUGGACGCCGCCCUCUUAGAGGAGAUUCGGUGUCCGUACUGCGGGGCAAAUGCUGUCUGCGGAGCUCGGCGUGGAACUGGCAGAUGGAAGUGUUUGGGGAAGACCAAGGUUUGGAAAAGUGACAGUACGGGGGAUGCAGCGAUCACAAAGUGAGCGGAAACGGUGGACGUUGUGAGCCUCUUCCCAACCGUGCUCCUUACCCAGCCCAUCCUGGGCAGCACUGGACCGCCUUCUGUCACUACAGAUUAGUCUGCGUUCUUUUCAUAAAAUUAGUAGUGUCUGUGCUGGCUUCUUUCACAUAGCACGACUGUUUUGAAAUUCAUCAUUUUUUAAAAAAAUAUUUAUUUAUUUAUUUGGUUGUGGCUCACAGGUUCCUUAGUUGCGGCAGGCGGGCUCCUUAGUUGUGGCAUGCGAACUCUUAGUUGUGACAUGCAUGUGGGAUCUAGUUCCCUGACCAGGGAUGGAACACGGGACCCUUGUAUUGGGAGGGUGGGGUCUUAUCCACUGUGCCACCAGGGAAGUCCUGAAAUUCAUCAUUUUAAAAGCAUCAAUAGUUCGUUCCUUUUUUGUUGCUUUAGUAUUCAUUGUUGGAUAUUCCAAAAUUUAAUCAUUCACCAGUUGGUGGACCUUUGCAUUGUUUCCAGUGUUUUGGAUACUGCCAGUGGAACUUCUACGAACAUUUGUGUGCAAAAAAUAAAAUGACCUCAAAGAACUGGUUUUCCCACAGUCCUAUGCGUCUUCAUCAGGUCACCAAGAAGUCUUUGUCAGCCAUUUACAGGCCUGCUACCCAUUUCUAACCCUGCUCCAGCUCAUAUUCUCUUCCUCCUCUCACCCCAGCCCUGAGCUAGAACGCUCAUUCAUCCUGGGGAAACAGAUCUUGAGAACACAGGCUGUGGCACAGAUGCAAAGUUCACCUACUUUCUUCAAUUACGUUCAACUCCAUAGGACCUUGUAAGUCUCAGAAAGCACCGAUAAAAGUCAUAUAACGAAAGGUCAAAGCAGGAAGUCAGUUUUAUUUUCUCUCACUGGACCGUCAUUACCAUGCUGGCCCAAUCUCUCACCUGAGAUACUAGAAUUGUCCCUGCUUAUAUCCUUGACCCUUAUGAUCUCAUCUUCAUAGAACAGGCAAGGCGAUCCUUGUAAAAUGCAAAUCAAUCAUGAAAUUUUCCUGUUCUCAAUUAUCUAAUGACUACAUUACAGGAUUGAAUAAAUAUUAGAUGGCCAAGUUUAGGUGCUUAAAAAUAUUAUGUUGGAGUAAAUUUACCCGAUAAUCCAGGGUUUGUGAUGGAAAUGUAGGACAGCUACUGCAUAGCAAAUUUCCAUUUCUUGUUCUUUAAGCAGGACUCAAGAUUUUUUAGCAGGAUAUGUUUAAUAGAUCAAGGGAAAGACUCUGGAUAAGAAGAGGGGAUAAGAGCUCCACUCAUAAGAGUAAGAAGGAAUGAAAAAGAUAAGGAAAAUCACAUGUCUAAUUGAACAGAUACAGAGGGGAUGGAAUCUUUUUUUGGGGGGGGGAUGGAAUCUUUGAAGUGAUGGUAACUCUCAAAGGUGAUAGGCCUGUGAACAAAUAAAUACAAGGUUUCUUCUUGAGUACAUCCCAAGGGGAUCUUACCACUUUUCAUCUCCUAUACUUUGUUCCAAUGUACAAUGAAACUGACCUUCGGGAUGAAACCAUUUCCACAAUCUACAUAUAGAGGGUUUCUCUCCAGUCUGAGUUUUCUGAGGUAAAAUGGUACGUGAUUCAAUGAGGAAGGCUUUGCCACAUUUAGCAUAUACGUAAGGUUUCUCUCCUGUAUGGAUUUUCUGGUGUCCGGUGAGCCUGGACUUUGUGGUAUGUGCUUUCCCACGUAUGCUACAUCCAUGGGGGUCUCUCUCCCAGGUGAAUUCUCUGAUGUUUAAUGAGCCGAGACUUCCUGAUGAAGGAUUUCCCAUACUCACUGCAUACAUGGGAUUUCUCAACCCUGUGAUCUCCCUGAUGCUUAAUGAACUGAGCCUUAGUGCUGCUGAGUUUUCCAAUUUCAGGCAGUUUUUGUAUGAAUUUGCUCAUGCUUUGUAAAGAGAGGAUUUCCCAUCUCUGUUACACCCCACAGGGUUCUUUAUUUCAUAGCUUCUGUUCUGAUUUUACUACAUUUAAAUUUGCAGAAUUUCCAUGAUUUUGUCUUAAAGGAAAAUGCUUUUGGGCUGGAUGAACAGUAUUUUCAAAGGCAUGAUGUUCGUGGCAUUGUUCCAUCCGCUUUAGGCAUCGUUGGUUAUGUAAGUGUUCCUCCAGUUGAUCAUCAACUUGCUUGACUUCUAGAAAACAUGAGAACGUGAAUGCUUAGGUGUGGAUCAAAUCUUUAGUGUUGGUUGCAUGAUCUCAGUACAAAAGAAUCUUUAAUAAUGUUCCUUAUAAUCCUGUGAUAAGCCAUAAUGUAAAAGAAUAUGAAAAAGAAUGCAUAUAUAUAUAACUGAAUCACUUUGCUGUACAGCAGAAAUUAACACAACAUUGUAAAUCAACUAUACUUCAAUAAAAUUUUAAAAAAUGUU
rnacentral:lncRNA from 1 species